ensembl:snoRNA
GAAGUCCUUUUCAGAUUUUGAUAGGAAUCUCAUUGAGCUUAAAUAUCAAUUGGGGGACACUACCAGUCUGACUGU